GACGAACGCUGGCGGCGUGCCUAAUACAUGCAAGUCGAACGCUUCUUUCCUCCCGAGUGCUUGCACUCAAUUGGAAAGAGGAGUGGCGGACGGGUGAGUAACACGUGGGUAACCUACCCAUCAGAGGGGGAUAACACUUGGAAACAGGUGCUAAUACCGCAUAACAGUUUAUGCCGCAUGGCAUAAGAGUGAAAGGCGCUUUCGGGUGUCGCUGAUGGAUGGACCCGCGGUGCAUUAGCUAGUUGGUGAGGUAACGGCUCACCAAGGCCACGAUGCAUAGCCGACCUGAGAGGGUGAUCGGCCACACUGGGACUGAGACACGGCCCAGACUCCUACGGGAGGCAGCAGUAGGGAAUCUUCGGCAAUGGACGAAAGUCUGACCGAGCAACGCCGCGUGAGUGAAGAGGGUUUUCGGAUCGUAAAACUCUGUUGUUAGAGAAGAACAAGGACGUUAGUAACUGAACGUCCCCUGACGGUAUCUAAACAGAAAGCCACGGCUAACUACGUG
rnacentral:rRNA from 1 species